AAUAUUGGUCAAUAGCCUAACGGCUGAACCAGCGAUUUGAAGGAAUGAAUAUCAACAUUUUAUUAUUUUUUGAAUAAAGUUCUGGCUAGGAUAAUGAUAAUGACAAUUUCCUAUCUAAAUGUCUUGACUAAGUCACGUGCCAGCAGUCGCGGUAAUACGUGAGAGACGAGCGUUAUUCAUCUUUAAUUGGUUUAAAGGGUACCUAGACGGUAAUUCUUGCCUUAGGAUGGGAACAGAAUUACUAGAGUUUUAUGUGAAAAGCUUAGAAUUGGUGGUGUAGAGAUAAUAUACAAAAAUACCAUUAGGACUGGUAAAGGCGAAGGCAAACUUUUAUGUAAAAACUGACGUUGAAAGGACCAAGGA
rnacentral:rRNA from 1 species